GAGGAAAGCGGGCGGCGGGCCGAAUACAUGCAAGUCGAGCGAACAGACGAGGAGCUUGCUCCUCUGACGUUAGCGGCGGACGGGUGAGUAACACGUGGAUAACCUACCUAUAAGACUGGGAUAACUUCGGGAAACCGGAGCUAAUACCGGAUAACAUGUUGAAACGCAUGGUUCAACAGUGAAAGACGGUCUUGCUGUCACUUAUAGUUGGAUCCGCGCCGCAUUAGCUAGUUGGUAAGGUAACGGCUUACCAAGGCAACGAUCCGUAGCCGCCCUGGGAGGGUGAUCGGCAACACUGGAACUGGGACAGGGUCCAGACUCCUACGGGAGGAAGCAGUAGGGAAUCUUCGGCAAUGGGCAAAAUCCUGACGGAGCAAGGCGGGGGGAGUGAAGAAGGUCUUCGGAUCGUAAAACUCGUUUAUUAGGGAAGAACAAAUGUGUAAGGAACUAUGCACGUAUUGACGGUACCUAAUCAGAAAGCCACGGCUAACUACGUG
rnacentral:rRNA from 1 species